CCACCUUUGACAUGUAUGGAAGAUCGCAGAGACGCGAUUGUGCUCGAAAGAGAGCCAUAACACAGGUGCUGCAUGGCUGUCGUCAGCUCGUGUCGUGAGAUGUUGGGUUAAGUCCCGCAACGAGCGCAACCCUUGUCAUUAGUUGCUACAUUUAGUUGGGCACUCUAAUGAGACUGCCGGUGACAAACCGGAGGAAGGUGGGGAUGACGUCAAGUCCUCAUGGCCCUUAUAGGUGGGGCUACACACGUCAUACAAUGGCUGGUACAAAGGGUUGCCAACCCGCGAGGGGGAGCUAAUCCCACAAAGCCAGUCGUAGUCCGGAUCGUAGUCUGCAACUCGACUACGUGAAGUCGGAAUCGCUAGUAAUCGUGGAUCAGAAUGUCACGGUGAAUACGUUCC
rnacentral:rRNA from 1 species